rnacentral:rRNA from 1 species
UACGUAGGGUGCAAGCGUUGUCCGGAAUUAUUGGGCGUAAAGAGCUCGUAGGCGGUUUGUCGCGUCUGCUGUGAAAACCCGAGGCUCAACCUCGGGCCUGCAGUGGAUACGGGCAGACUAGAGUGCGGUAGGGGAGAUUGGAAUUCCUGGUGUAGCGGUGGAAUGCGCAGAUAUCAGGAGGAACACCGGUGGCGAAGGCGGGUCUCUGGGCCGUAACUGACGCUGAGGAGCGAAAGCGUGGGGAGCGAACAGG